rnacentral:lncRNA from 1 species
CCGACCAAAGAAAGGCUUAAAGCCCACGCGAUUGUUGUCGCGACUUCCGACCAGGCUACGGCCGGUCGAGGGAUAUUCGGCUUACCACCGUUUAUCACACGACGCGACCUUAGUCGCAUCCACAGCUUCCCGACCGAUUGACGGUCGGCCGAACGACAUUCGGCUUGCUACCAUAUGUCGGACGACACAGAACCCGACGCAAGAGCUUGGGGAUCCGACUUACUAUCGCUCCCCCGACACUGCGUCGGACGAUGUUCGACUAAACGCAUCUACGGAAGUCCGACUACCGAACCUUUACCAGGUUCGGUCGACUCCCGACUUAACAGAUGCACCCGACUAGCGACUUCAACUAUUGGAAGCCGACCUAAAGUCGGGACACAAGUUACUUCGGAGCUGCGCAAGUCGGCUAAGUCCUACCGACUUACCCGAGUCGGCGACUUCUCUAAAGUUGGUGACUAGGGUUCGACAUUGCAGCGAUAGAUAGACAUUACAAACACA